rnacentral:rRNA from 1 species
UGGGGAAUAUUGCACAAUGGGGGAAACCCUGAUGCAGCGACGCCGCGUGAGCGAAGAAGGUUUUCGAAUCGUAAAGCUCUGUCCUAUGGGAAGAUAAUGACGGUACCAUAGGAGGAAGCCCCGGCUAACUACGUGCCAGCAGCCGCGGUAAUACGUAGGUGGCAAGCGUUGUCCGGAAUUAUUGGGCGUAAAGCGCGCGCAGGUGGUUUAGAAAGUCUGAUGUGAAAGCCCACGGCUCAACCGUGGAGGGUCAUUGGAAACUAAUAAACUUGAGUGCAGGAGAGAAAAGUGGAAUUCCUAGUGUAGCGGUGAAAUGCGUAGAGAUUAGGAGGAACACCGGUGGCGAAAGCGGCUGUUUGGCCUGCAACUGACACUGAGGCGCGAAAGCGUGGGGAGCAAACAGG